UGACAGUUGUCUUUCUAUGUAUUUAUUUUACCUGCUACCAAUCAUUGCACUACCACAAAGAAUGAUGAAGUCCCAGGGACCUUGGGAAGAAGAGGUGUGGUCCCUGAGAAAAGGGUUGAGGGGGUGUUGAAGUAAAAAUGUUGUACCAAAUGGAAGUUUUUCAAAAAGGCACAGACAACAGUUAUCUCUCCAAACAAAUGGAAACUCUUAGCAGUAAACCUAAGAGUUUCUUUAGGCUGUGUUUACUAACGUGAAGAGCAACAUCUUCCUAGGUAUUAGGCCACCCCAAGUGUAGUUUAAAAAUAAAUAGUACUAGAAACGGAAGUGUAAACACAUGCACGGUUUAUCAUUUCACCCCUGUGAGGUCAGCAGACAUCUGUAACACACUUUCCCUACAGCAGCUAACAAAGGCAGGAUGAUGGUAUCUGUUCUGAGUGUUUGGAACAACAUCGCCACUUAUCUUUAUAGAUUUCCUCAGGCACUCAAUGGAGGGCCUGAAAAACAUCAAUGUCAAGGACUAGGCUGCUACGUUCUAUGAGCUGGAGACGAACAAGGCCUCUCCUGAUGCCUCUCCAGUCACGGGAAUAAUGGUUUUGAAAACGUCAGUGCUCCCUCUGCCUUGUACAUUGUAAUCUCCUGUAGUCCAUCUGAGGCCAGUGCACACAGGGCCACAGUAGGCGAUGAGUAUUCCUGAUGACAAAUCUGCUAUUUCAGUCUACUUCUUCAUGUGAUAUCCCAAGUAUUUUUUCCUAGAGGGGGAAAAAUAGAUUCUUAAAAUUCCAAGUCAGAUUUACUGUCGAAGUGAAAACAUAUGGCUGCUAACUCCGCUCUAUCCCAGGCACGACCCAAGGCUCAGGAGACCAUGUUAGUUUGGGGGAGGGUUUGGAGAGGUGACUGGCAUUCUUGGUAUGCCUGCAAGGAAAACAUCAGCUAAGGUCUUAACGUUACACACCCAGAGUUAACAGGCUGGAUCUUUUCUUGAAGAUGGGAGGGCUUCGAGGGUGUAUUUAAAAUUCAAAAAAAAGUGGGUACUGAAAGGUCAA